CGGGAUAUAGCGUAGUCCGGUUAUCGCGCCUGCUUUGGGAGCAGGAGGUCGCCUGUUCGAAUCAGGCUAUCCCGACCA
rnacentral:tRNA from 1 species